AAGUAUUAAAGGUCCCGCCUGCCCAGUGAAAUAUUUUAACGGCCGCGGUAUUCUAACCGUGCAAAGGUAGCGUAAUCACUUGUCUUCUAAAUAAAGACUAGUAUGAACGGCUAAAUGAGGACAAAACUGUCUCUUAUGACUAAUCAGUGAAACUGAUCUACCAGUACAAAAGCUGGUAUUACUACAUAAGACGAGAAGACCCUGUGGAGCUUAAAACAAACCACUACCCAAUAAGACCCCUAGUGUACUGUUUUAAGUUGGGGCGACUUCGGAACAAAACAAAACUUCCGAGCAUAGAUCCACCAGAUCAAACCAAGGCCUACAAGCCAAAAUAAAAACUGACCCGGCCCAAGCCGAUCAACGAACCAAGUUACCCCAGGGAUAACAGCGCUAUCUUCUUCAAGAGUCCAUAUCGACAAGAAGGUUUACGACCUCGAUGUUGGAUCAGGACACCCAAGUGGUGCAGCCGCUACUAAAGGUUCGUUUGUUCAACGAUUAACAGUCCUACGUGAUCUGAGUUCAGACCGGAG
rnacentral:rRNA from 1 species